AUAUGAUACGUUUUAUAUGUUUUAUAUAAAACGGUAGACUUAAAUGCUGGCAUUAUAAAUGUACCUGUCACUAAAGCAGUAUUUUGUUAACCUAGUAAAUAAGCAUAGUGUUUAGAUUCGUUGUCACUCGGGGGGGGGAGGGGGAGUAUGUAGGGAACUACGUUCUCAAUACCUCACUAGCGCAGAGAGUAUAGAAAGCCUAGGGAUUUUGCGUGUUGCCUACAAGCAGCGUCAGAGAAAAAUAAGAAGUCAGAUAGAUUAUGGUGCUCAUCCUGUACGAUCGUAUUCAUUCGAGCUCGAGUAAUAAAAUUCAUCAUUAUUAGUUCAAUCAAGAAAAGUGUCGAUCAUUAUACCUCAUAUCACAUCACACGACAAGCGUGGGCUUGUCUUGAGAAUUGACUCAUCAAUCGAGUCACUUAUUCCCACACGUCCAGUGUGCAGGAGCCACUAGCAGAAAAAUUUUAUGAAAAACUAUACAUAGAUUGAGACAAGAUCUUAGAAAUUCUUAGUUUUUCAUUGAUAUUUGUAGUGGAACAUAAAGUGGCAUUGUUUGUUCGAAGAACCAAGAAAGCCUUUCUUAAAACAACGACAUUGUAUGUUCCACUACGAAUAUCUACGAAAAACUAAGAAUUUCUAAGGCAACAAGUAAACCUCACUCUACAUCCUACAAAUAUCUAGGAAAAAUUAAGAAUUUCUAAAAUCUUAUCUCAAUCUAGAAGAUGAGCUCACCGGAGAUGCCGCUACCCAAAAGGAGAGAGAAUAAAAUCCAAUCCACCUCAAGAAAAAAGAAACGAUUUCCAAGAAUUCCAAUGUUUUCGUUUUUCCUUUCUUGCCAAUCUUUAUUUAGUAACUUUACUCGAACUGAAUUAUUAAUUAAAUUCGAGCAAUAUUACUAACAAAAGCUAUUAGCCGUUUAUGAAUUUUUAAAUAUUAUAUGAUGUUACUAUGGUACGCCAUCUUAUAACAUAUUAUUACAUUCUGAUGCGUGCGUGCGUGUCAACUACGUAUUUAAUAUCCAUACAUUUAAAUAUACACAAUAUACCUGUUACAUGUAUUACAUACGUAUUAUAUACGUAUUUCGACUUGAAUAUGCAUAAUAUAUCUGCUACAUAUUA